rnacentral:rRNA from 1 species
UACGUAGGGGGCAAGCGUUGUCCGGAUUUAUUGGGCGUAAAGAGCGUGUAGGCGGCCAUACAGGUCCGUUGUGAAAACUCGAGGCUUAACCUCGAGACGUCGAUGGAAACCGUAUGGCUAGAGUCCGGAAGAGGAGAGUGGAAUUCCUGGUGUAGCGGUGAAAUGCGCAGAUAUCAGGAAGAACACCCGUGGCGAGGGCGGCUCUCUGGGACGGUACUGACGCUGAGACGCGAAAGCGUGGGGAGCGAACAGG